rnacentral:lncRNA from 1 species
GCCAAUGUCAAAUUUUGUUUGUUUAUCAACUAAAAAGCUUCACAUUAUCGAUGUGAUUUGCUUCAAGGAAGGUGCAUGUUUUUGUGUUUGAGCUUCACUGAUGGCUUCGAUGGUAAAGUUUUAAGUUUUGAGAUGAGUUUUGAUGUGGGUUUGGGUUGUUUUUAUUCAGCAGUUUCUGGGUUGCUUCUGAUUUUGUUCUUUACCUACUGAUUGUUGGAAUCUGGAUUAUAAUUGCUCUUUUAGGAAAGCUGUUUAGAAUUUGUUGUUUGUUGGGUUUAUUUGAGGUAGCUCUGAACUGAACUGGGGUUGUCCAUACUGGUCUUGGAUUUUGUAUCGGCUGACAUGUAGGUGUUGUUUGAUAUAUGAUAAGCUCCGGUAGUGAGUGUAAAGCAUGUUUCUUUUGAUGUUAUGUAUUGAAUUUGAGAUCUGAAAUUGUUAGGUUUAAAUCUGUUUCUCUUCAGAAAAAAAAAAUGCAAUGAAUGUUUGGUAAGUGUAGGAUUGUGAAAACUAUUCCUCUGGGUUACAGAAUUUGGUGACUAAAGUUCUCAUUGAUAAUUUCUAAUUCUGCCAGUGGAACUCUUCCAACGAGGAUUCUCAUUGCUUCCGCUGAAAAAGUCAAGGGAAUUGAUUUCCCAGUGACUCCACUCUGCUAACUGAAUUAAUGUUCUCAAUUCUUACUCAAGAGUCAAGAUAUUGGGAUCUCCUUGGAAUUUCAGUGAAAUAACUAUCACUUGGUCUUCCUUAGAAUCCUAAAUCUGUUUGUUCAAAAAUCUGUUACAAAUUAAUUUUCCAUUUAUGUUCGAAACACAAUGCAUUUUUCUUUUUUCCAUUUUGACUGACUACACUGACUUUCAGUGCUAUAUUAUGUUUAAGCUCUUCAAAAGAUGGAAAAAAAAAAAAAAAAACUGAAAACGAUGAAGAUUAAUACAUGCCUUUUGGGGAAAAUGACCAGUCCACACUCUUUAUUUUCUUUCCCAUUUGUACUGAAUUAUCAAUUUGAUACCAGAUAUUCUUGGGGCAUCUAAAUUAGCAUAAUUAUUUGCUUCUCAGUUUAUCGUUCUCUUCUUGCAGUUAAUCCAUUAGCUGAGUGGGUGAGCGAGAAAUUGAUUUACAAAUAGAACUCUGUGUCUCUUUGAUUUUCUUUCUGAUUUCUCUGUCAGCAUUUUUGGCCAAAGAUGUUGGACAUGCUAGCGUUGUAGUUGAUGGGACAGUAGCUACUGUACAGGUUGAUAACUGUCGGCAUCUGUGUUAAAUUUGAGCUUGUCUUAUCCUCUGCUUGCCAAGUCAAUUCAAGGCCCCUUGUCACAUUUUGCUUGAAUGCACUAUCAGGGAGGCACCACAAAGGUGCAUAUGUUUGGGUUGGAGAUUGGGACUCUAGCAAUACCUAUGGGACUCUGCUGACCUUUUCUUUUUUCCUCUCUCUUCCUCCCUUCUGCCUCCCAGACCGAGUUUUUUCCUCUCUCUUUUCCCCCCUUUGCCACCUAAACUGAACAGCAGCAGCUGCGUGAGGAAAAGAAUAUGCAAACCCGCAGCAUCGCGCGGGGCCAAUUCCUUGUGUGUACAAGAUAGUUGGAAGCAAUGGGUUAGAAGAAGAAGGAAAAGGCUGAACGAGAGAAAAAGUCAAAGAAAGUCGUGUAGCUGCUGAUCGGUAAGGAGAGGGAAUUUGUGGUCUGUUUUAGUAUUUGGAAGUUGAAAAAUGUAGAGUUGGAGAAGAAUUGGGGGCCUUUACCUUUCAAUUUUGCAGCGACAUUAUGUUUGGAUUAUAGGCUUAUAUGCAAGGAAAGUAUGGGGUAGAGAGUUUGAAGUUAUGAAUUACUUUGUUUUGGCUGCGUAACCAUACUAAACACCCAUUUCUUUUCAAUUUUGAGGAUUAUCAUAAUCCUUUAUAAUGCAGGGAAUAGUG